rnacentral:tRNA from 1 species
GGGCGUAUAGCUUAAAGGUAGAGCACAGGACUUUGACUCCUGGUGUAUUGGUUCGAUUCCAGUUACGCUCG